AUGCCGCGUCGCGCGCGCGAGGAGAGUGAGGAGGAGAAACCGCACCGCAUCACGAAGCUCGCCGGCAGCAGCGACGACGAUGUGCCGGUGAAGGCGUCGAAGAUCUCCGCCAAGGCGUCGGACCACGGCAACGGCGUUGCUGUAGAGAAACGGAAGCGCACGGAGGGGAGCUGCAAGGUUGCUGUCACUUCGGCGACGGCACCGGCGGAGGAGAAGGACGAGGAGGUGCCGAACAACGGCUGCGCCGCCACAGCGCGCCCGUUCUCGGAGUUCGAGAUGAACCCCAUCGUCGUCAAGGCGCUGCAGUCACGCGGCAUCGAGUCUAUGUUUCCUGUGCAGGCUCUCACCUUUAACGCCAUCAUGAGGAACACGGACGUCCUCGUGCAGGCCCGCACCGGCAGCGGCAAGACACUCGCGUUCGGUAUCCCGAUCGUGGAGCGGCUGCUGAAGCUGCCGAGCCACUUCACCCGCGGCCGCGGCCCGGCUGCCGUGAUCUUCUGCCCUACUCGUGAGCUGGCCAUCCAGGUGCAGGAUGUGCUCUGCGGGAUCAGCUGCGGGCUCGUCGUGACGGCCCUGUACGGCGGUGUUGCCUACGCGAAUCAGGAGCGCGUGCUGCGCAGCGGCGUCGACAUUGUGGUGGCCACCCCCGGCCGCGCGAAGGACUUUCUAGAGAAGGGCACGCUGCAUUUUGACCGCGUUGUGAUGGCGUGCCUGGACGAGGCGGACCACAUGCUGGACAUCGGCUUCAAGGACGACAUUGAGUUGCUGCUCUCGCAGGUGGCCGAGCAGAACGGCUCUGUCGGCGCUGAAAGGCCAGUUCAUCAGACGCUGCUGUUCUCCGCGACGGUGCCGGAGUGGGUGCACACGUGCUCCUUCAUCGCCAAGGACAAGGAGUUCAUCGACAUGGUCGGCAAGGAGGCUGUGCGGACAGCGAGCACGAUCAAGUUCUAUCGCAGAAAAUGCAACUUCAGCGAGAUCUCCUCUAUGCUCGCUGAUCUCAUCAAGGUGUACAGCGGUGCCCACGGCCGCACUCUCGUCUUCACCAACACAAAGAAGGACUGCCACGACUUGUCCAUCAACAACACCAAACUGGACUCGCAGUGCCUGCACGGUGAUAUGCAGCAGGAGCAGCGCGAGAGUACCAUGAAGAGCUUCCGCGACAACAAGUUCAGCGUCCUCAUCGCCACCGACGUGGCGGCCCGCGGUCUCGACCUGCCCAUGGUGGACCUGGUUAUUCAGUGCGCUCCACCGAGCGACAUCGACGCUUUCAUUCACCGCGCCGGCCGUACGGGACGCGCUGGCCGCAAGGGUGUGUGCGUGCUGCUCUACCAACCGCGCGAGGAGUACGUUGUCGAGCGCAUCGAGCGCCACGCGAAAAUGAAGUUUGACGUCCUGCCGGCACCCACGCGUGAAGAGAUUCUCAAGGCCGUCGCCCGUGAUGCCGCUGAGGACCUGGCGCGCGUCGAGCGCCGUGCAACCGACCUCUUCAUGGAUCAGGCAGCCGAGCUGCUGAAGGACGCAGACCCAGUCGAAAUCCUGGCCUCGGCGCUCGCCGUCAUGAGCGGCUACACGUCGAACAUCACCACGCGCGGUCUCAUUACUGGCACGCCAGGGUAUGUGACGGUGCAGAUGACGUCGGAUCGACCGCUGCCCGUUCCGGUGUACUGCAGCAUCCUCCGAAACAACCUCGGCGAUGAAACGUUCAUGCGGUGCCGCGACAUUACACUGUUGCAGGACGACCCGGGCUGCGUCUUCGAUGUGCUGGAGCAGUUUGCCGAGCGUGUCAUGAGCACACCGAUGCGCGGUAUCACCUUCCAGCGGAUCGAGACCCUUCCUCCGAUCAUCGCGCGCGAGCUCAACAGCAGCCGCGGCGGUCGCAGUGGCUUUAACUACGGAGGCGGUCGCGGUGGCUUCAAUAACGGCGGCGGCUACGGCAGUGGGCGUGGUGGCUUCGGCGGCUACGGGGGGGGUCGCGGCGGCGGUCGCGGCGGCGGCCGCGGCGGUGGGCGUGGUGGCGGUUUCCAGCGCCGCUACUGA
rnacentral:rRNA from 1 species